rnacentral:rRNA from 1 species
GAUGAACGCUGGCGGCGUGCCUAAUACAUGCAAGUCGAGCGAACGGACGAGAAGCUUACUCCUCUGAUGUUAGCGGCGGACGGGUGAGUAACACGUGGAUAACCUACCUAUAAGACUGGGAUAACUUCGGGAAACCGGAGCUAAUACCGGAUAAUAUUUUGAACCGCAUGGUUCAACAGUGAAAGACGGUCUUGCUGUCACUUAUAGAUGGAUCCGCGUUGCAUUAGCUAGUUGGUAAGGUAACGGCUUACCAAGGCAACGAUGCAUAGCCGACCUGAGAGGGUGAUCGGCCACACUGGAACUGAGACACGGUCCAGACUCCUACGGGAGGCAGCAGUAGGGAAUCUUCCGCAAUGGGCGAAAGCCUGACGGAGCAACGCCGCGUGAGUGAUGAAGGUCUUCGGAUCGUAAAACUCUGUUAUUAGGGAAGAACAAAUGUGUAAGUAACUGUGCACAUCUUGACGGUACCUAAUCAGAAAGCCACGGCUAACUACGUG